AUUGAACGCUGGCGGCAGGCCUAACACAUGCAAGUCGAGCGGAUGAAGGGAGCUUGCUCCUGGAUUCAGCGGCGGACGGGUGAGUAAUGCCUAGGAAUCUGCCUGGUAGUGGGGGAUAACGUCCGGAAACGGGCGCUAAUACCGCAUACGUCCUGAGGGAGAAAGUGGGGGAUCUUCGGACCUCACGCUAUCAGAUGAGCCUAGGUCGGAUUAGCUAGUUGGUGGGGUAAAGGCCUACCAAGGCGACGAUCCGUAACUGGUCUGAGAGGAUGAUCAGUCACACUGGAACUGAGACACGGUCCAGACUGCUACGGGGGCCAGCAGUGGGGAAUAUUGGACAAUGGGCGAAAGCCUGAUCCAGCCAUGCCGGGUGUGUGGAGAAGGUCUUCGGAUGGUAAAGCACUUUAAGUUGGGAGGAAGGGCAGUAAGUUAAUACGUUGCUGUUUUGACGUUACCAACAGAAUAAGCACCGGCUAACUUCGUG
rnacentral:rRNA from 1 species